CGCGGGGUGGAGCAGCACGGUAGCUCGUCGGGCUCAUAACCCGAAGGUCGCAGGUUCAAAUCCUGUCCCCCGCAACCA
rnacentral:tRNA from 1 species